GGGGAUGUGGCUCAGUUGGUAGGGUGCCUGCCUCGAAUGCACAAGGCCCUGGGUUCAAUUCCCAACACACACA
rfam:Ictidomys tridecemlineatus contig114942, whole genome shotgun sequence.